GUAUCUUCACCGUCGUCAUCGAUGAUCAAUAUUUUUAAUCAUUUUCUAGAAGUAACUCUUGAAAUUGCAACAUACAACUGACCAUGUGAAAACACUGGCGACGAAAGAUAUAUCCCAACAUGCUUUAAAGAUUUGUCUCUGACUCUUAUUAAUAGUCAUCGCAAAAGAAAUCAUUAUAGGAAAUUGUCUCCGUUGAAAUUUAAAAGGAAUUCUCACGUCAGAUGGUGUCAGAGAAAAUCUAGGUAUGAAAACCUGAUCACCA
rnacentral:lncRNA from 1 species